rnacentral:rRNA from 1 species
AGAGUUUGAUCAUGGCUCAGAACGAACGCUGGCGGCAGGCCUAACACAUGCAAGUCGAACGAAGCCUUCGGGCUUAGUGGCGGACGGGUUAGUAACGCGUGGGAACGUGCCCCUUUCUACGGAAUAGUCCUGGGAAACUGGGUUUAAUACCGUAUACGCCCUUCGGGGGAAAGAAUUUCGGUGAGGGAUCGGCCCGCGUUAGAUUAGGUAGUUGGUGGGGUAAUGGCCUACCAAGCCUACGAUCUAUAGCUGGUUUUAGAGGAUGAUCAGCAACACUGGGACUGAGACACGGCCCAGACUCCUACGGGAGGCAGCAGUGGGGAAUCUUGGACAAUGGGCGCAAGCCUGAUCCAGCCAUGCCGCGUGAGUGAUGAAGGCCUUAGGGUCGUAAAGCUCUUUCGCCAGGGAUGAUAAUGACAGUACCUGGUAAAGAAACCCCGGCUAACUCCGUGCCAGCAGCCGCGGUAAU